UAAGGUCUGGAGCCGAAGCGAAAGCGAGUUUGAAAAGGGCGUUAAGUUGCAUAUAAUGGGCCCGAAACCGGGUGACCUACCCAUGGUCAGGUUGAAGUGGAAGUAAAAUUCCAUGGAGGACCGAACCGACCUCCGUUGAAAAGGCGGCGGAUGAACUGUGGGUAGCGGAGAAAUUCCAAUCGAACCCGGAGAUAGCUGGUUCUCCCCGAAAUAGUUUUAGGACUAGCCUCAAGUUAGAUACCUGGAGGUAAAGCACUGAAUAGCCUAGCGGCCGAGAGGUUAGCGAAGCUUAUCAAACUCAGAAUGCCAGAGUAUUGAUGCUUGGGAGUCAGACAGUGUCAGAUAAAUGUCAUUGUCAAAAGGGAAACAGCCCAGAUCUACAGCUAAGGUCCCAAAGUCAGGUUAAGUGGAAAACGAUGUGAAGAUACGCAGACAACCAGGAUGUUGGCUCAGAAGCAGCCACUCAUUCAAAGAGUGCGUAAUAGCUCACUGGUCGAGCGUCUUUGCGCGGAGAAUUUAACGGGGCUAAACCUGACACCGAAGCUUAGGCAAUCCAGUAAUGGAUUGGGUAGGGGAGCGUUGUAUACGCGGAGAAACAGUAGCGUGAGCGGCUGUGGAGUGUAUAGAAGUGAGAAUGCCGGAAUGAGUAGCGCGAAUGCAGUGAGAAUCUGCAUGGCCGAAAGCCUCAGGUUUUUGGAGGAAGGUUCGUCCGCUCCAAGUUAGUCGGGAGCUAAGGUGAGGCCGGAAGGCGUAGCCGAUGCACAGACGGUAGAGAUUCCGUCACCACCAAAAGAGUUAAGCACAGGGACACAUUUGAAGUCUCAGAGCCGGGUGUUGGUUCCGGUAGAGAUCGAGGGAAAUUAGUACCGAAGUCUGGGAUGGAAGAUGGCGAGAAAAGCUGUGUGUAUUUCUGAGGUGCCCGUACCGCAAACCGACACAGGUAGGUAGGAAGAAGAUUCUAAGGCCAACGGGAGAAGGGUUGUUAAGGAACUCGGCAAAUUGACCCCGUAACUUCGGGAGAAGGGGUGCUCCAGAGAUGGAGCCGCAGAGAAUCGGCCCAAGCAACUGUUUACCAAAAACACAGGUUUGUGCUAAAUCGAAAGAUGACGUAUACGAGCUGACGCCUGCCCGGUGCUGGAAGGUUAAGAGGAGAUGUGCAAGCAUUGAAUCGAAGCCCCAGUGAACGGCGGCCGUAACUAUAACGGUCCUAAGGUAGCGAAAUUCCUUGUCAGGUAAGUUCUGACCCGCAUGAAAGGCGUAAUGAUUUGGGCACUGUCUCAACAGCCCGCCCGGCGAAAUUGUAGUACCGGUGAAGAUGCCGGUUACCCGCGACAAGACGGAAAGACCCCAUGGAGCUUUACUGUAGCCUAAUAUUGGGUUUCGAUGUUGCAUGCACAGGAUAGAUGGGACACAGGGAAACAAUCGCUUUGGCGGUUGCGGAGUGGCCGUUGGGAUACCAUCCUUGCGAUAUUGGAAUUCUAACCUGCGGCUCUGAAUCGAGUCGGGGGACAUUGUUAGGUGGGCAGUUUGACUGGGGCGGUCGCCUCCUAAAAAGUAACGGAGGCGUUCAAAGGUUCGCUCAGCUUGAACGGAAAUCAAGCAAAAGAGUGCAAACGCAGAAGCGAGCCUAACUGCGAGACUGACGGGUCGAGCAGUAACGAAAGUUGGAGUUAGUGAUCCGGUGGUAUGUGAGUGGAAAUGCCAUCGCUCAACGGAUAAAAGUUACCCUGGGGAUAACAGGCUGAUCUCCCCCAAGAGUCCACAUCGACGGGGAGGUUUGGCACCUCGAUGUCGGCUCAUCGCAUCCUGGGGCUGUAGUCGGUCCCAAGGGUUGGGCUGUUCGCCCAUUAAAGCGGUACGCGAGCUGGGUUCAGAACGUCGUGAGACAGUUCGGUCCCUAUCUGUCGUGGGCGCAGGAUAUUUGAUGGGAGCUGUCCCUAGUACGAGAGGACCGGGACGGACGUACCUCUGGCGCACCAGUUGUUCCGCCAGGAGCAUAGCUGGGCAACUACGUACGGAUCGGAUAAACGCUGAAAGCAUCUAAGCGUGAAGCCGACCCAAAGAUAAGAUGUCCCAUUGUUUUAAACAAGUAAGACCCCUUGAAGACUACAAGGUCGAUAGGCACGAUGUGUAAGUGGAGCGAUCCAUUCAGCAAGCGUGUACUAAUAGGUCGAGGGCUUGACCAC
rnacentral:rRNA from 1 species